UACGUAGGUGGCAAGCGUUGUCCGGAUUUACUGGGCGUAAAGAGCGCGCAGGCGGCAGAUCAAGUCAGGCGUGAAAGCCCCGGGCUUAACCUGGGAACUGCGUCUGGGACUGGUUUGCUAGAGAUCGGGAGAGGAGAGUGGAAUUCCCAGUGUAGAGGUGAAAUUCGUAGAUAUUGGGAAGAACACCGACGGCGUAGGCAGCGCCCUGGACGACACCUGACGCUGAGGCACGAAAGCUGGGGGAGCGAACAGG
rnacentral:rRNA from 1 species